AGGGCAUCCCAGGAAACAAUGGCUUGCCGGGACAUCCUGGGCCAUCAGGUGAAAUGAAUCUGCAACCAGUAGAGGGCCCUGCUGUAAAAAAGGUACCCCUCUGUGGAGACUGCAGCUCCCAAAGCAAUAAUGGGAUAAAAGGAGAAAAGGGAGAUCAGGGACAACCUGGAGCUCCAGGAAUAAAUAAUUGU